AUUGAACGCUAGCGGGAUGCCUAACACAUGCAAGUCGAACGGAGCGGCGAACGGGUGAGUAAUGUCUCGGAACGUGCCCAGUAGUGGGGGAUAACGACCGGAAACGGUAGCUAAUACCGCAUACUAUUGGAGCAGCCGGUAUCGGAUUAGCUAGUUGGUGGGGUAAAGGCCUAAAAAGGCGACGAUCCGUAACUGGUCUGAGAGGAUGAUCAGUCACACUGGAACUGAGACACGGUCCAGACGCCUACGGGAGGCAGCAGUGGGGAAUAUUGGACAAUGGGCGAAAGCCUGAUCCAGCCAUGCCGCGUGUGUGAAGAAGGUCUUCGGAUUGUAAAGCACUUUAAGUUGGGAGGCGUUACCAACAGAAUAAGCACCGGCUAACUUCGUGCCAGCAGCCGCGGUAAUUC
rnacentral:rRNA from 1 species